rnacentral:lncRNA from 1 species
CCAAAACUCACAGAAUAGGGGAAUCCCAAUGUUAGUUCCCGAGUCUCCAAAACCCAGGGUCCAUUAAAGCCAUGCUCGGGUCCAUCGAGGCCAAGACUACAUCUCUAACGCUUGAGCACGAGUCCAUCGAAAGCAAACCUAGGUCCAUUAAGGCUAGGCUCAAGACCCCAAUUCUCGAGCCUAAAUCCAAGCCCUAGGGGCCUAAGCCUGGUUUCAUCGAGGUUGGGCCUCAGCCCCUUGAUGCUCAUGCACUAUGCCCC